GUCUCUCUCUCUGGUGUGUAUACAUAUUGUACUAUUUCACUGAAUCUUUCUUCACAAACGGUGGUCAAUUCUGUUCACAUUUUCAGAUUUGGAAGAGCUCAAUUUUUGUCCGGAUUGUGUAAGAUUCAAAUGAGGCUAUCGAUUUCUAUCCUUUCAUGUUACCCAACUUGAUUCAGGUUAGGAAUAUGUCCUUCGUGGGGUCUUUCUCAGAAGCUGCCACGCAUUGUAGGACCCAACAGAGCUCGUGAGGUGUCUUUAACAGCCAUGGCCCUUAAUUGUAGAACUAGCUGAGAGGUGAGAAAGCUAAAAAUGUCCUUGGAGGGUAUUAAUUAUCAAACACGUCCUUGGCUGUCAUUUUCCCAUUUUUUGGUGAAUCCUCUUGUCGAUGAAAGCGAGUUGCUGAAGAAAGCCCAGAAGUUGCAGAGGCUAUCUUCAAAAAUAAUCAAGACUUUAGUGUUGAAGUACAUGUCAGUUAUCAAUAUGGCCUCAAGCUUGGGAUUCACAUUUAGAAGGUCCCCCUAUAGCUUGUUUAAUGACUUUCUCUUUACCUUUGGCAAUGGAGGAAGUUUUUCGAGGAACAAAGAGAAUGAUGUUCAGACAUGAACUGCCCUCUUUGGUUCAAUAAGACUUGCCUUGGGAAAAUCACUCCCACGAUGGACUUCAAACGUACCAAUAGGAACCAUCUUAACCAUGCUUGUGAACCAAGUCUGAAAUUAAUAGUUUUUCAAUUUUCUCAUUUUUAUGCGAUACAAUAUUUCUAGAAAUCAAUCAUCAUAAACGGAAAGUUGUGGCGGAGGGUUGAAUUUUUAUUUUUUGGAACUUGUUUGACAUUAUUGUCAUUCUUGAACGCUCCGGGAUCAAAGAAGUCAAGGAUAUAACACUUAAUUGUUCGCUGGAAGUUAAUGAACAAACAUAAAGCUACUUGGUAAAGCAGGACAGAUACCUUCUUUGCUUGAAACGGCAUCUAGAAACAGCAAAUCUAAGACUUUGCUUUAUCUGCAUUGGUUAAGCUACCAGGUUGCUAUGAAAACAAGAACUGCGUCUGCGCAGCAGGUGGGGACGUUCCUCUUCAUCUCGCAGGUCAUACUCGCAAAAUGCUAUGGAGUCCUUGAAAAUCUUGCUUCAAACGGCAAUGGAACUAGAUUCUUUGUUGAUGAAACCGGGCAGGGAAGUUGCUGCAGCUUAGCUCAAGCUGUAUUAGUGCAGAUUAGUAAGUUUUGGCAGGGUAGUUAGCUAGCUAAUUUUUGUUACUACUAAUAUUCCAUUGGUA